rnacentral:rRNA from 1 species
ACUCCUACGGGAGGCAGCAGUGGGGAAUUUUGGACAAUGGGGGAAACCCUGAUCCAGCCAUCCCGCGUGUAUGAUGAAGGCCUUCGGGUUGUAAAGUACUUUUGGCAGAGAAGAAAAGGUAUCUCCUAAUACGAGAUACUGCUGACGGUAUCUGCAGAAUAAGCACCGGCUAACUACGUGCCAGCAGCCGCGGUAAUACGUAGGGUGCAAGCGUUAAUCGGAAUUACUGGGCGUAAAGCGUGUGUAGGCGGUUCGGAAAGAAAGAUGUGAAAUCCCAGGGCUCAACCUUGGAACUGCAUUUUUAACUGCCGAGCUAGAGUAUGUCAGAGGGGGUAGAAUUCCACGUGUAGCAGUGAAAUGCGUAGAUAUGUGGAGGAAUACCGAUGGCGAAGGCAGCCCCUGGCAUAGUAACUGACGCUCAGACACGAAAGCGUGGGGAGCAAACAGGAUUAGAUACCCUGGUAGCUACGAG